GACGAACGCUGGCGGCGUGCUUAACACAUGCAAGUCGAGCGGUAAGGCCCUUUCGGGGGGUACACGAGCGGCGAACGGGUGAGUAACACGUGGGUGACCUGCCCUCAGCUCUGGGAUAAGCCUGGGAAACUGGGUCUAAUACUGGAUAUGACUCCACGGUGCAUGUCGUGGGGUGGAAAGCCUUGUGCGGCUGAGGAUGGGCCCGCGGCCUAUCAGCUUGUUGGUGGGGUGANGGCCUACCAAGGCGACGACGGGUAGCCGGCCUGAGAGGGCGACCGGCCACACUGGGACUGAGACACGGCCCAGACUCCUACGGGAGGCAGCAGUGGGGAAUCUUGUGCAAUGGGCGAAAGCCUGACGCAGCGACGCCGCGUGAGGGAUGACGGCCUCGG
rnacentral:rRNA from 1 species